rnacentral:lncRNA from 1 species
AAGCAAGUCAUCAGAAACACAGAUGCUGUUAUUAUUAGUAUUACCAUUAUGCAAAUUUCUUUAGAACUAAAGAACAAGGGAAGAGAAAUAUAGAACAUAAAUGACAUGCAAGAAGAAUUGCCUCUAAGAAGGAUGCUUUUGAAGGUUUUCUAUGCAGCUCUUUAAAAUCAAUGGAGUAAUUAAAAGUGGAAAAAAAUAUGGUAGUGCAAGGAAAUAAAAAGACUAGGUCUGGAAAAUAUUAGAUAUCCCUGAAUACGGUUGGAACUAAUAACAAGCCUCAAAAAUGAAAAACAACAAGAGAAAAAAUUGCCUCAACAUAUUUCUUUGGUGCUUAAAAAAAUCUCCACUUGUAGUAUCUGAAGAGGAAGGAAGGAAGAUGCUUAAUUCCUGUGUUUUCCUGUUAUUCUACUGCCCCUGUACUUUUUGCCACUGAGAUGGCCAUGUAGGGCACAAGUGGAACUCAACAAAAAUGUGACUGGCAAGGUGGUGUGGUUCCAGAGUUCAUCUCUAUUGAAAGAAAAAGAAAAAGCAAGAAAUCAAAUCAUUCUUAUCAGAUGAGUCAAAGGGAAGCCUUAUUUCUACCUGGAAUCAUGCCUGCUGCCUCAAAGUUAUUCUCAUCUCAAGUCCUUUCUCUUCCAAGGUAGAGUUUUCUGUGCAGGAGCUGGACAAACAGGAAAGAAAGAUAAAAAGAAAUAAGAAAGGAAGGAAGGAAGGAAGGAAGAAAGGAAGGAAGAAAGGAAGGAAGGAAGGAAGGAAGGAAGGAAGGAAGGAAGGAAGGAAGGAAGGAAGGAAGGAAGGAAGGAAGGAAGGAAGGAAGGAAGGAAGGAAGGAAGGAAGGAAGGAAGGAAGGAAGGAAAGAGGAGGAAGGAAAGGAGGGAGAGAGCAAGGAAGAAAGGAAGAAAGCAAAGGAAGGAGGUAAGAAUAAAUAAUAUUUCUCAUAUUUAUCCA